rnacentral:lncRNA from 1 species
AGUGGCACCCUGGCUGUGCGCUGUGGCCCCCCGUGGUCUUUCAUCUCUGCAACCGAGAUGCCUGAAUCCUGGCCCAACUGGCAUCUCACCAGCAGCUACGUUACCCAUGGCAUUAUCCCACCCGUACCCUUCCCCCCGCCCACGGUGCAGUCCACGGUCGCGGACCCUCUACCUCCGACUGCAAAGCAGGAUUCUCGCAUCUGGGCUUUCGACGAGGUCCUCAGCAGAUGGGAGACAACCUCUGGCUCGGCCUACGUGCCCAAGACCCAUGGCGGGCCCUGCGCCCAGCCCAGAGCCCCAGAGCCUGCAGACCCCACGCGGACUGUGGGGAUCAAGGAUUCAGGAGAAAAGCUCAGACACCGCAGCUGAACCCUCCUACUGACCACAAAGUACCAGAGCAGCGAGACGAGGGCGCAGUACACUUGCUCUCCCGGCCCGGACGCGCGCGCCCCCAAAUACGUCGGGCCCCAGCCCCUCACAACUCUCGGACCACCACCGCGGGGGGCCUUCCCAGGUGUCUGGGUGGAAGCCGGCGCUGGCGAGACCAGCGG